CCUUUCCUACUCCAUUUCUCUUUCUUCUUUCACUAUAAUCACCACCACCACCUAAUCCGCCGGAUCUACAACCACCGUCGGUGACCACCACGCAGGAUCUACCGCCACCACCACUUGUCUACCUCCACCGGAUCUACAACCACCUCAAUGGUGAUGUGAUGAAGCAUUCUGCCGCCACCACUUGUCUACCUCUCGAAAACAUUCAUUUCAAUCAUCUUCCAAUAAACUCCGGCGACAGCGAUGCCAAUGGCGAUGAAGCAUUCUGCCACCACUGCUACUCGUGUUAUUUCCUCUGCUACUUCCGCCUCCAUCCUAACCAGAGACUUUCAUUUGUGCUGGAUGAGUUGUCAAAGUCCAUACAGGAACCGAUUCCUUGGUGCAUAUGCUUUUUGCAGAUGAUAUUGUGUUAGUUGCGGAGACUAAACAACGACUGAACUAGAGGUUAGAAGAGUGGCGAGUUGCUUUAGAAGGAAAAGGUUUAAGAAUUAGUCGUUCAAAGACCGAGUACCUUCACUGUGAGUUUAAUGGAACAGUCGACAGGGAAGAUACUCAAAUCACCAUUGAUAGUCAAGCGGUGCCACAGGUUACCAGGUUUAAAUAUUAAGGAUCGUAUGUACAAAAGGAUGGGGAGAUAGAUAGUGAUGUUGCCCAUCGUAUCCAAGCUGGCUGGUGUAGGUGGAGAGCAGUUGCUAGGGUAUUGUAUGACAGGAUGUUCCCAACUAAAUUAAAAGGAAAAUUUUAUAAGGUUGUGGUUAGACAUGCUAUAUUAUAUGGAACAGAUUGUUGGGCUAUUAAAAAGACGUAGACACGCAAGAUGGAGGUGAGAGAAAUGAGGAUGUUAGGGUGGAUGUGCGGGCAUACAAGGCUAGAGCGUAUGAGAAAUAAGUUUUUAGGGAAAGGCUAGGGGUGGCUAGUAUAUCGAGUAAGAUUAAGGAGGGGAGAUUGAGAUGGUUUGGGCACGUGAAGAGGAGGCCGGUGACGGCACCGGUUAGAGUAGUGGACGCCCUUUGUGUGGAGGGUAGGAGGAGUAGAGGAAGACCCAAACUGACUCGGGAGGAACAGAUUAGGCAAGAUUUGCUAGAGUUGCACCUUUCCGAGUACAUGGUCCAGGAUAGGAGUUCGUGGAGACGUAGGAUUAAGGUUAAGGAUUUUUAGGAGAGAGUAAUGAGCUGUCUGAGAUUUUUGGUUAGGGGUUAAUAUUUCAUACUUUUCAGGUGGACUUUACAUGUGUUUAUCAUCUUGUGUGUGUGUGUGUGUAUAUGUAUAUGUAUAUAUAUAUAUAUAUAUAUUGCUUUAGGGGCUAUAACUGUGGCUAUUCUACUAUGUUAGUCGGUUACCACUUAUUCUGUGAUUGGUGGAUUCUUAUUGCUAUAUCUGUAGUUCGCAUUGUUUGCUUGAUGUUUGGUUUUGAGCCGGGUGUCUUUUUGGAAGCAGCCUCUUUAUCCGUAUGGAUAGAGGUAAGGUUUGUCUAUAUCCAGUGGCGGAUCUAGAAGUAAAAUUCAGGGGUAUCCUAGAAAUUUUUUUAGCGUGCAUUUAUAAAAGAAAUCAAUUUUUUAAUCGUACAUUUAGUGGUGGAUGAUAGAUUUUAUUUGUAUGAAGUCACUGGUUUUAAAUGCUUUAAUUCAUACAAGCGAGCGAACAUAAAAAUUUCUGGCUCGGUUCAGGUCAGGUCCUAACCUAAGUUUUUUAUCUACUAAUAUGUACUAAUAUAUCAUCAAGAACAUUAAUUUAGUUUAUUUGUUUUUUAAGUACUAAAUAAUAUCGACAAUAAAACAUUUUUAUACAACGAAAAGUGUCACCUCAUAUUUACAUAAUUUAAAAAAUAGAUUACUUAUGAAUAGUAAGCUCUAGAAAAAAUAAAAGAUUUAAUAAACUAACAGAUAGUUAGACAAUUAAAUAAUAAAUAAUAUGUUUGAUUAAUAAACUAAUGACAGUAAAUUAAUUAAAUAUAAAUGAUAUUUUGAUUAAAUAUUAUGGGAAAAGUUCCGGUAUAGACAGUCUUAUUGUACAAAACAUACAAAAGGCAUGAAAAAGUUAAAAAAAAAAAACGCGGUGACAUAUUUGUAAUUAUUUAUUCAUAGGGUAAUUAUCAAAAUUACUCUACUAGUUUAUCAAACAACAUACAAUUCAAAAUUACCCUACAAGAUCAUUUGUAGAGUAGUUAUGAUACUUUAUAAAAUUACCCUACAAGAUCAAAAUUACCCUACAAAAUCAUUUUACAAAAUUACAAUACAUUAUCAAAAUUACCCUACAAGAUCAUUUGCAGGGUAAUUUUAAUAAUUAUUCUACGAGUAAAUAAUUACAAAAAUGUCAUCACGUUUUUUCAGCAAAACCUUCAGUUCAUACGUUUUAUGCGUUAAAAGUAUUUCUAUUUGAUGUUUUGCCUAAAUACUAUACCUUUCGAAAAGGGUUAAAUACUAUACGAAUAAUAGAAUUAUCAUAUCCAACUUAUGAAAUUUAAAUAUAUUAUGUAAUAUAAUAACAAUAGAGCCCACGUGUAGCAGUAACUUUACAGUUUUCAAGAGAAGAAAAGGUUUCAUUAAUUAAGGGUCUUAUCUUUUGUUUUUAAAAAACAAUAAAACAUACUCUUCUUCUUCUCCAUUUAGUCUCUGCAACUCCGGCCGUCUCAUCUUCUUCAAAAUAUUUUAUUUUUCUUAUCCAUCUCUCCAAUAACUCAGGGGUAUCCAGUAUUACAUUUAGGGGUAUCCAAAUACAUAAAACCGAGAAACAAUAUUUUUUUUACAUUUCGCAAAAAAAGUUGAGGGGUAUCCCGGGCAACCCCUGACCAUUAUGUAGAUCCGCCCAUGUCUACAUCUCACCCUCCUCAGAUCUCACCAAUAACUUUGCUAUUUGUGAGACUUACUAGAUAUUGUUAUUGUUGUUGUGUUCUUUUUAAAAAAAAAAAAAAAAGUUUUAUGUUUUCUUUAUUUAGUUGUGUUCUCUAUGUUUUGUUUUAUAAAAUUUAUGUUUUUAAUUUUUAUUGAUUAUUAUAUUUAGUUAAAAAAAACUCAUUAAAGUCGCCCGCUCACCUAAAACACACAGGGUGAUAAAGCUUGAGCAGUGACUUUAUCAGAUGUACAGUCAACGUCCAAUAAACACCAAAUAAAGCAAUAUUACAUGAUGAAUUCGGUAUCCUCACUUUGAUUCGCAAGGCCACAAGUUAUAGUAUAACUGAUUAAAUUCUUGAAAAACUCAAAUUCAUUCCAAAUACAACCCAAUCUGAAUUUAAUUGAUAAAAUUCUUGGAAAACUCAAAGUCAGUCCAAAUACAACCCAAUCUGAGCAUCGUCAUUUAUUUUCCAUACCUAUAUAUAGUAUAGUGCUCUUCAAUUGUUGGCACUUAUAACUACCAAGACCAGAAAAAAAAAAAUGCCACCAGGACCACCAAAUUAUUGUUUCAGAAUCCAACCCAUAAUCUUUAUAAGGG